rnacentral:rRNA from 1 species
GACGAACCGUGCGAACGUUAUUCGGAAUAACUGGGCUUAAAGGGAGCGUAGGCGGGCUAUCAAGUCUGGGGUGAAAUGCCGCGGCUCAACCGUGGAACUGCCUCAGAUACUGACGGCCUCGAGGGGGAUAGGGGCAUGCGGAACUGUAGGUGGAGCGGUGAAAUGCGUUGAUAUCUACAGGAACUCCGGUGGCGAAAGCGGCGUGCUGGAUCCCUUCUGACGCUGAGGCUCGAAAGCCAGGGGAGCAAACGGG